UACGUAGGGGGCAAGCGUUGUCCGGAAUUACUGGGCGUAAAGCGUGCGCAGGCGGUUUUGUAAGCCAGAUGUGAAAUCCCCGGGCUUAACCUGGGAAUGGCAUUUGGGACUGCAAGGCUGGAGUUUGGCAGAGGAGACUGGAAUUCCCGGUGUAGCAGUGAAAUGCGUAGAUAUCGGGAGGAAUACCGAUGGCGAAGGCAGGUCUCUGGGCCAAUACUGACGCUCAUGCACGAAAGCGUGGGGAGCAAACAGG
rnacentral:rRNA from 1 species